AAUGGCCCCUGGGACCUGACUCCACCAUGGGCUACAAGCUGCUCUACUGUGUGGUCCUCUGUCUCCUGGGUGCAGUCCCCAUGGAUUCCAGAAUUAUCCAGACACCAAGAUAUCUAUCUAUGGGGACCUCAAAUAAGAAGUCUUUGAAAUGUGAACAACAUCUGGGACAUAAUGCUAUGUAUUGGUAUAAACAGAAUGCUAACAAGUCUCCAGAGCUCAUGUUUCUAUACAACUUUAAGAAACUUGUCCAAAAUGAGAGUGUGCCCAGUCGCUUCUCACCUGAUUGCUCCGACAGUUCUCUCUUAUUCCUACACAUGGCUUUCCUGGAGCCUAAAGACUCAGCCACAUAUCUCUGUGCCAGCAGUCAAGACACAGCCUUAUAG